rnacentral:lncRNA from 1 species
AAAAAUUGAAUAUUAAAAGUGAAAAAAAAAGAAAAAAAAUUAGGAAAUUUAGAAAUUAACCCCCAAAACUAGAAGCCCUAGUUUUGUUCUUCCUCCCUGUCUCUCUCGACUCUCUCUCUCCCCUCUCGACUCCGCCGCCGGCGCCGCUGCCCCGAGCCAGCCCGUCGCCGCCCACCCUUGUCGCGCUGCGUCGCGCCGCUGCCUCCCACCCUCGCUGCGUCUCAUCUCCUCCCCAAAUCUCUCUCUCUCUCU